rnacentral:rRNA from 1 species
ACCGUUAAUUGGCAAACGAAUCGGAGCCACGAAGUCGUUUCGCUGGUCAAUCCAAGUUCAGUUUGGGAUAGCAAUAUCUCGGGCGUAUUCUUGUUGGUUGGCCAUUGUAAGCGUACACUGCAACCAGUUAGACAAUUGGCGAUGGGCCAAGUUGGGUAGAAGCCUCGGUGACUACUUAACGAAGUGCUUGUUUGCUCUAACUAGUAGUGAUAUUGUGUUUCUUCGGGAACAUGGUGUUGCUGGGUUAGAGUAAGUGAACUAUCACCAAAUACUGACUGGCACAAUGAAACUUGCUCUUAUGAGCGUGAUACACAAUGCGGCUACUCGUGUCUAAUGUCUACACAGUCAACCGUAGGGUUUAAGUUCGGCAUUUUUGAAUUUGGGCUUGCUUUCUACCAGUGGGGCAACUCCUGGUGUUGGUAUUGUCACCAUCUAAUCGGGUGUCGACUUGAUUUUGCGUUGUUUGGAUGUGCUACGAUUGGAUGUUAGAUCGAAGUGGUUUGCAAUUGAUUGGCAGUGAGUAGGUCGGCUUUCCGAACGACCCGUCUUGAAACACGGACC